AGAGUUUGAUCCUGGCUCAGGAUGAACGCUGGCGGCGUGCCUAAUACAUGCAAGUCGAACGGGAGACCUCAUUUCGAUGGGGUUGAGAGUGGCGCACGGGUGAGGAACACAUGGCUGACCUGCCCUUCAGAGGGGGAUAACGGCUGGAAACGGCUGCUAAUACCCCAUACGCUCCUUGGGAUUAGAGGCCUGAGGAGGAAAGCCUUCGGGUGCUGAAGGAGGGGGCUGUGGCCCAUCAGCUCGUUGGUAGGGUAACGGCCUACCAAGGCGACGACGGGUAGGGGGCCUGAGAGGGUGACCCCCCACACUGGGACUGAGACACGGCCCAGACUCCUACGGGAGGCAGCAGUAAGGGAUCUUGCGACAAUGGGCGAAAGCCUGACGCAGCAACGCCGCGUGCGGGAGGACGGCCUUCGGGUUGUAAACCGCUUUUCGGGGGGAAGAGGAAGGACGGUACCCCCGGAAGAAGUCUCGGCUAACUACGUGCCAGCAGCCGCGGUAAAACGUAGGAGGCGAGCGUUAUCCGGAUUUACUGGGUGUAAAGCGCGUGUAGGCGGUCCUGCAAGUGGUGCGUGAAAGCGCCCGGCUCAACCGGGCGAGGACGUGGGCGAACUGCAGGGCUAGAGGCAGGUAGAGGCGUGUGGAAUUUCGGGUGUAGUGGUGAAAUGCGUAGAGAUCCGGAGGAACACCAGUGGCGAAGGCGACACGCUGGGCCUGGCCUGACGCUGAGAGGCGAAAGCAUGGGGAGCGAACGGGAUUAGAAACCCCGGUAGUCCAUGCCGUAAACGAUGCUGACUAGGUGUGGCGGGUAUGAACUCCUGCCGUGCCGGAGCCAACGUGGUAAGUCAGCCACCUGGGGACUACGGCCGCAAGGUUAAAACUCAAAUGAAUUGACGG
rnacentral:rRNA from 1 species